rfam:Sus scrofa isolate TJ Tabasco breed Duroc chromosome 1, whole genome shotgun sequence.
UCCCUGGUGGCCUAGUGGUUAAGGAUUCAGCAUUGUCACUGCUGUGGCUCAGAUUCAAUCUCUGGCCCAGGAG